rfam:Ovis aries breed Texel chromosome 1, whole genome shotgun sequence.
GGUUCCAUGGUGUAAUGAUGAGCACUCUGGAAUCUGAAUCCAGCAAUCCAAGUUCAAGUCUUGGUGGGACCU